GACGAACGCUGGCGGCGCGCUUAACACAUGCCAGUCGAACGGAGGUCUUCGGGCCUCAGUGGCGAACGGGUGCGUAACACGUGAGCAACCUGCCUGGUCGUGGGGGAUAACCAGUGGAAACGCUGGCUAAUACCGCAUGAGCUCAUCUUGCCGAUUGGUGGGAUGAGGAAAGCUCCUGCAAGGGAGUGCGACCAGAGGGGCUCGCGGCGUAUCAGCUAGUUGGAGGGGUAACGGCCCACCAAGGCGAUGACGCGUAGCCGAUCUGAGAGGAUGAUCGGCCACAUUGGGACUGAGAUACGGCCCAGACUCCUACGGGAGGCAGCAGUGGGGAAUCUUGCGCAAUGGGCGAAAGCCUGACGCAGCGACGCCGCGUGCGGGAGGAAGCUUUUCGGAGUGUAAACCGCUGUCAGAGGGGAAGAAAUGUCGGGGGAGGAAAUGCCCUUGAUUUGACGGUACCCUCAAAGGAAGCACCGGCUAACUCUGUG
rnacentral:rRNA from 1 species